GCUGGGCAUGGUGGUGCAUGCCUGUAAUCCCAGCUACUCGGGAGGCUGAGGCAGGAGAAUCACUUGGAUCCAGGAGGCGGAGGUUGCAGUGAGCUGAGAUAGUGCCACUGCACUCCAGCCUAGGUGACAGAGUGAGACUCAGUCUCUA
rfam:Macaca mulatta chromosome 3, whole genome shotgun sequence.